rnacentral:rRNA from 1 species
AUUGAACGCUGGCGGCAGGCCUAACACAUGCAAGUCGAGCGGAUGAAGGGAGCUUGCUCCUGGAUUCAGCGGCGGACGGGUGAGUAAUGCCUAGGAAUCUGCCUGGUAGUGGGGGAUAACGUCCGGAAACGGGCGCUAAUACCGCAUACGUCCUGAGGGAGAAAGUGGGGGAUCUUCGGACCUCACGCUAUCAGAUGAGCCUAGGUCGGAUUAGCUAGUUGGUGGGGUAAAGGCCUACCAAGGCGACGAUCCGUAACUGGUCUGAGAGGAUGAUCAGUCACACUGGAACUGAGACACGGUCCAGACUCCUACGGGAGGCAGCAGUGGGGAAUAUUGGACAAUGGGCGAAAGCCUGAUCCAGCCAUGCCGCGUGUGUGAAGAAGGUCUUCGGAUUGUAUAGCACUUUAAGUUGGGAGGAAGGGCAGUAAGUUAAUACCUUGCUGUUUUGACGUUACCAACAGAAUAAGCACCGGCUAACUUCGCG